UCCGGUAUGGUGUAAUGGCUAACAUUUCGCGCUCUCAUAACUUGAGAGAUCAUUUGAUCCGCGGAGCUCAGGGUUCGAUUCCCUGUACCGGAG
rnacentral:tRNA from 1 species